ensembl:snoRNA
UGUAAAAUUCGGUUUUCAAAGAUUAAGGUUCUGCACAGGAUACCAUAGUCACUCCACAGUGCUGUGUUUUCCCAAGGAUUUAUAAAA